GACGAACGCCGGCGGCGUGCUUAACACAUGCAAGUCGAACGGAAAGGCCCUGCUUGCAGGGUACUCGAGAGGCGAACGGGUGAGUAACACGUGGGUGAUCUGCCCUGCACUUCGGGAUAAGCCUGGGAAACUGGGUCUAAUACCGGAUAGGAGCCAUUAUUAGUGUGAUGGUUGGAAAGUUUUUUCGGUGUAGGAUGAGCUCGCGGCCUAUCAGCUUGUUGGUGGGGUAAUGGCCUACCAAGGCGGCGACGGGUAGCCGGCCUGAGAGGGUGGACGGCCACAUUGGGACUGAGAUACGGCCCAGACUCCUACGGGGGGCAGCAGUGGGGAAUAUUGCACAAUGGGCGCAAGCCUGAUGCAGCGACGCCGCGUGGGGGAUGACGGCCUUCGGGUUGUAAACUCCUUUCGCUAGGGACGAAGCUUUUUGUGACGGUACCUAGAUAAGAAGCACCGGCUAACUACGUG
rnacentral:rRNA from 1 species